AGUUACAAAGAGAAUCCAGCCUUCAACAGCUGUUGGGGGACGGGGGGGAAGUUGUAUGAGUACAUGAGAGACACUUUAAGCAGGCUCACAGGAAUAGAUUUGUGAAUGCUCUCUGGAGCCCCAGAAGAUAAAAGAAUAAGUAACUAUGACAGUCAUUUGUAACAAUCGUCUCUUUCCCAAUACACUACCAGCAAGCCGACCCACACCGCCUCCAGUCUUAGUGCCUUCCCGGUCACGCCCUCCCUUCUCCUGAAGGGGGCGGAAUCUCUAAUCCACCCAAGACCCGGUUCCUCGAUUCCCAUCGUUACGACCGAGGAGAAAAGAGAGUAAAUUUUCCUAUUAUAGCCUUCUCUCGCACCUUCCCCGCUUCCCACCAGCCGUCUCCACUGUCCUCACCGUCCCCAUCCUCAUCCAUGGCGAAAUCUUCGCCCCCAGCCUCGUGAAGAUCUAGCACGUCCGCCAUCUCGCCUUCGAUCGAGAUCUCGUCUGUGCCGCUCAGACACUAGGUACCUCGGGAAACUGUCGCAGAG
rnacentral:antisense_RNA from 1 species